rnacentral:rRNA from 1 species
CCUACGGGUGGCAGCAGUGGGGAAUAUUGGGCAAUGGAGGAAACUCUGACCCAGCGACGCCGCGUGAGGGAUGAAGGCCUUCGGGUUGUAAACCUCUUUCAGCAGGGAAUAAGCGAAAGUGAAGGUACCUGCAGAAGAAGCACCGGCUAACUAUGUGCCAGCAGCCGCGGUAAUACAUAGGGUGCAAGCGUUGUCCGGAAUUAUUGGGCGUAAAGAGCUCGUAGGUGGUCGAUCACGUCGGAUGUGAAAAUCUGAGGCUUAACCUCAGACCUGCAUUCGAUACGGGUUGACUGGAGUGUGGUAGGGGAGACUGGAAUUCCUGGUGUAGCGGUGGAAUGCGCAGAUAUCAGGAGGAACACCGAUGGCGAAGGCAGGUCUCUGGGCCAUUACUGACACUGAGGAGCGAAAGCGUGGGGAGCGAACAGGAUUAGAUACCCUAGUAGUC